UCUCAGGCUGUGACACUCUAGAGGGAAGCGCUUUCUGUUUUCUGAAAAAGAAAGUGCAUCCUUUUAGAGUGUUACUGUUUGAGA
rfam:Gorilla gorilla gorilla genomic chromosome, chr19, whole genome shotgun sequence